rnacentral:rRNA from 1 species
CGGGACGGGUGAGUAAUGCUUGGGAAUCUAGCUUAUGGAGGGGGAUAACUACGGGAAACUGUAGCUAAUACCGCGUAAUAUCGAAAGAUUAAAGUGUGGGGACCUUCGGGCCACAUGCCAUAGGAUGAGCCCAAGUGGGAUUAGGUAGUUGGUGAGGUAAAGGGCUCACCAAGCCGACGAUCUCUAGCUGGUCUGAGAGGAUGACCAGCCACACUGGGACUGAGACACGGCCCAG